UACGGAGGGUGCAAGCGUUGUCCGGAAUCACUGGGCGUAAAGGGCGCGUAGGCGGCUCAUGAAGGCUGUGGUGAAAGUCCGGGGCUCAACCUCGGAUCGGCCGUGGCGACUCGUGGGCUGGAGCACUGUAGAGGCGGGUGGAAUUCCGGGUGUAGCGGUGGAAUGCGUAGAUAUCGAGAGGAACACCAGUGGCGAAGGCGAGUCCCUGGACAGGUCCUGACGCUGAGGCACGAAAGCCAGGGGAGCAAACGGG
rnacentral:rRNA from 1 species